UGGGGAAUCUUGGACAAUGGGCGCAAGCCUGAUCCAGCCAUGCCGCGUGGAUGAUGAAGGCCUUAGGGUUGUAAAAUCCUUUCGUUGGGGACGAUAAUGACGGUACCCAAAGAAGAAGCUCCGGCUAACUUCGUGCCAGCAGCCGCGGUAAUACGAAGGGGGCUAGCGUUGUUCGGAUUUACUGGGCGUAAAGCGCGUGUAGGCGGGUCGUUAAGUUGGGGGUGAAAUCCCGAGGCUCAACCUCGGAACUGCCUUCAAAACUGGCGACCUGGACCUAAGUAGAGGCAAGUGGAAUUGCGAGUGUAGAGGUGAAAUUCGUAGAUAUUCGCAGGAACACCAGUGGCGAAGGCGACUUGCUGGACUUAUGGUGACGCUGAGACGCGAAAGCGUGGGGAGCAAACAGGAUUAGAUACCCCAGUAGUCCCUGAGCGGGCUGGCAAGGCGCAU
rnacentral:rRNA from 1 species